rnacentral:rRNA from 1 species
AGCGAACGCUAGCGGCGGGCUUAACACAUGCAAGUCGAACGGCAGCACAGCAGUAGCAAUACUGUGGGUGGCGAGUGGCGGACGGGUGAGGAAUACGUCGGAAUCUGCCCAGUCGUGGGGGAUAACUAGCCGAAAGGUUAGCUAAUACCGCAUACGACCGAGAGGUGAAAGCGGGGGACCGCAAGGCCUCGCGCGAUUGGAUGAGCCGACGUCGGAUUAGCUAGUUGGCGGGGUAAAGGCCCACCAAGGCGACGAUCCGUAGCUGGUCUGAGAGGAUGAUCAGCCACACUGGAACUGAGACACGGUCCAGACUCCUACGGGAGGCAGCAGUGGGGAAUAUUGGACAAUGGGCGCAAGCCUGAUCCAGCAAUGCCGCGUGUGUGAAGAAGGCCUCGGUU